rnacentral:tRNA from 1 species
AGGCGUGUAGCUCAAUUGGCAGAGCAACGGUCUCCAAAACCGUAGGCUGGGGGUUCGAGUCCCUCCACGCCUG